rnacentral:rRNA from 1 species
UUAAUUGAAGAGUUUGAUCAUGGCUCAGAUUGAACGCUGGCGGCAGGCCUAACACAUGCAAGUCGAGCGGCAGCACAGAGGAACUUGUUCCUUGGGUGGCGAGCGGCGGACGGGUGAGUAAUGCCUAGGAAAUUGCCCUGAUGUGGGGGAUAACCAUUGGAAACGAUGGCUAAUACCGCAUGAUGCCUACGGGCCAAAGAGGGGGACCUUCGGGCCUCUCGCGUCAGGAUAUGCCUAGGUGGGAUUAGCUAGUUGGUGAGGUAAUGGCUCACCAAGGCGACGAUCCCUAGCUGGUCUGAGAGGAUGAUCAGCCACA